rnacentral:rRNA from 1 species
CACGUAGGGCGCAAGCGUUGUCCGGAGUUAUUGGGCGUAAAGAGCUCGUAGGCGGUCUGUUGCGUCCGCUGUGAAAACUCGGGGCUUAACCCCGAGCCUGCAGUGGAUACGGGCAGACUAGAGGUAGGUAGGGGAGAAUGGAAUUCCCGGUGUAGCGGUGAAAUGCGCAGAUAUCGGGAGGAACACCGGUGGCGAAGGCGGUUCUCUGGGCCUUACCUGACGCUGAGACACGAAAGCGUGGGUAGCAAACAGG